UACCAGGGGGUGCAAACGGUUGCUCGGAAUCAUUGGGCGUAAAGCGCACUGUAGGCGGUUUGUUAUGUCGGAUGUGAAAGCCCUUGGCUCAACUGAGGAAGUGCAUCCGAAACUGGCAGCUAGAGUACUAAAGAGGGUCGCGGAAUUCCCGGUGUAGAGGUGAAAUUCGUAGAUAUCGGGAGGAAACACCGGUGGCGAAGGCGGCACCUGGGGUAGAUACUGACGCUGAGGCGCGGAAAGCGUG
rnacentral:rRNA from 1 species